CAAGCUACGCAACCAUAAUACAUAUGCAGAGGUCCUAGAUCAGACCCAUACAGGUAGGCUCCCGGAUGGGUCGUUCAGUUGCUGGCUUUUUUUAUCCUCAGGGAUAAACCUUGAGGUGGAUGGAGGCUCUAAUCCCAAGUAACUGGCAGAAAUUGCAUCUCAUCUUUUCUAGCUUCUCUCAGAUGAGUGUGUGGGCUCCAGGCUGACUGUUCUGAGCAUCAUUCAGUUGGGAGAUUUGACAUGGCUGCUGAGUGUACCAAGCACUGAAGACAGAGUCUGGCAAUGGGAGAUCAUCAAUUGAAACAGAGUGAAGCCAUACUCAGAGGGACGAACAUCACACGUUGGCUGUCAGUUUUUUAUGAGCCCCAGGAGAACAGUGGAUGCUGCUUGCAUUUGAACGUCAGAACCUGGAUCUCAGCAGUUUCACAGACCCACUUUAUCCUUGUCUGGAGUUAAUGAGAUCAGAAUAAAAUCAAAUAAACACUCC